rnacentral:rRNA from 1 species
CAAUAGCGUAUAUUAAAGUUGUUGCGGUUAAAAAGCUCGUAGUUGGAUUUCUGCUGAGAACGACCGGUCCGCCCUUUGGGUGUGUAUCUGGCUCUUUCUUGGCAUCUUCUUGGUGAACGUUGCUGCACUUGACUGUGUGGAGCGCUACCCAGGACUUUUACUUUGAGGAAAUUAGAGUGUUUCAAGCAGGCAUACGCCUUGAAUACAUUAGCAUGGAAUAAUAAGAUAGGACCUCGGUUCUAUUUUGUUGGUUUCUAGAGCUGAGGUAAUGAUUAAUAGGGAUAGUUGGGGGCAUUCGUAUUUAACUGUCAGAGGUGAAAUUUGAUUUGUUAAAGACGGACUACUGCGAAAGCAUUUGCCAAGGAUGUUUUCAUUG